CGUGUAGGCGGUCGGGUAAGUCAGAUGUGAAAGCCUUUCGCUUAACGGAAGAAGUGCAUUUGAAACUGCUCGGCUGGAGUACGGGAGAGGAGAGUGGAAUUCCCGGUGUAGAGGUGAAAUUCGUAGAUAUCGGGAGGAACACCAGUGGCGAAGGCGGCUCUCUGGUCCGAUACUGACGCUGAGACGCGAAAGCGUGGGGAGCAAACAGGAUUAGAUACCCUGGUAGUCCACGCCGUAAACGAUGGGCACUAGGUGUAGGAGGUAUUGACCCCUUCUGUGCCGAAGUUAACGCAUUAAGUGCCCCGCCUGGGGAGUACGGCCGCAAGGCUAAA
rnacentral:rRNA from 1 species